rnacentral:rRNA from 1 species
GAAUUCGAUUCAGGCCUAACACAUGCAAGUCCAGGCCUAACACAUGCAAGUCGAGCGGUAGAGAUUCUUCGGAAUCUUGAGAGCGGCGUACGGGUGCGGAACACGUGUGCAACCUACCUUUAUCUGGGGGAUAGCCUUUCGAAAGGAAGAUUAAUACCCCAUAAUAUAUUGAUUGGCAUCAAUCGAUAUUGAAAACUCCGGUGGAUAGAGAUGGGCACGCGCAAGAUUAGCUAGUUGGUGAGGUAACGGCUCACCAAGGCAAUGAUCUUUAGGGGGCCUGAGAGGGUGAUCCCCCACAUUGGGACUGAGACACGGACCAGACUCCUACGGGAGGCAGCAGUGAGGAAUAUUGGACAAUGGGUGCAAGC